UACGAAGGGGGCUAGCGUUGUUCGGAAUUACUGGGCGUAAGGCGCGCGCAGGCGGUCUUCCAAGUCAGUGGUGAAAGCCCGGAGCUCAACUCCGGAACUGCCAUUGAAACUGUAAGACUUGAGGAUGAGAGAGGUGAGUGGAAUUCCCAGUGUAGAGGUGAAAUGCGUAGAUAUUGGGAGGAACGCCGGUGGCGAAGGCGGCUCACUGGCUCAUAUCUGACGCUGAGGCGCGACAGCGUGGGGAGCAAACAGG
rnacentral:rRNA from 1 species